UGGGGAAUACUGCGCAAUGGAGGAAACUCUGACGCAGCAACGCCGCGUGCAGGAUGAAGGUUUUCGGAUUGUAAACUUCUUUGAUGAGGGACGAAUAAAUGACGGUACCUCAAAAACAAGCCACGGCUAACUACGUGCCAGCAGCCGCGGUAAUACGUAGGUGGCGAGCGUUGUCCGGAAUUACUGGGUGUAAAGGGCGUGUAGGCGGGGAUGUAAGUCAGAUGUGAAAUACCCAGGCUUAACUUGGGAACUGCAUCUGAAACUACAUUUCUUGAGUAUCGGAGAGGAAAGUGGAAUUCCUAGUGUAGCGGUGAAAUGCGUAGAUAUUAGGAGGAACACCAGUGGCGAAGGCGACUUUCUGGACGAUAACUGACGCUGAGGCGCGAAAGCGUGGGGAGCAAACAGG
rnacentral:rRNA from 2 species